rnacentral:rRNA from 1 species
CAAUAGCGUAUAUUUAAGUUGUUGCAGUUAAAAAGCUCGUAGUUGGAUUUCGGGUGGGUACCGCCGGUCUCCCACUGGGUAUGUACUGGCGUGGCCUGCCUUGCUGUCGGGGACGAUCUCCUGGGCUUUACUGUCCGGGAAUCGGAGUCGACGAUGUUACUUUGAGUAAAUUAGAGUGUUCAAAGCAAGCCUACGCUCUGAAUAUAAUAGCAUGGGAUAACACGACAGGACUCUGGCCUAUCGUGUUGGUCUGUAGGACCGGAGUAAUGAUUAAGAGGGACAGUCGGGGGCAUUCGUAUUCCAUUGUCAGAGGUGAAAUUCUUGGAUUUAUGGAAGACGAACAUCUGCGAAAGCAUUUGUCAAGGAUGUUUUCAUUGAUCAAGAACGAAAGUUGGGGGCU